UACGUAGGGAGCAAGCGUUAUCCGGAAUUAUUGGGUGUAAAGGGUGCGUAGACGGGAUGUCAAGUUAGUUGUGAAAUACCUCGGCUCAACUGGGGAACUGCAACUAAAACUAACAUUCUUGAGUGCAGGAGAGGAAAGUGGAAUUCCUAGUGUAGCGGUGAAAUGCGUAGAUAUUAGGAAGAACAUCGGUGGCGAAGGCGACUUUCUGGACUGUAACUGACGUUGAGGCACGAAAGUGUGGGGAGCAA
rnacentral:rRNA from 1 species